rnacentral:snoRNA from 1 species
UUGUUAACACAGUGAUAAUCUCAUCACAGCAGCAGGUCGAUCUGCAGUGCAGACCUGAACAUGAAAAUUCUGAAACUCUGAA